rnacentral:rRNA from 1 species
UGGGGAAUUUUGCGCAAUGGGGGAAACCCUGACGCAGCAACGCCGCGUGAGUGAUGAAGGCCUUCGGGUCGUAAAGCUCUGUCAGAGGGGAAGAAGUGCAGGGGCGCUAAUAUCGCUUUUGCUUGACGGUACCCUCAAAGGAAGCACCAGCUAACUCCGUGCCAGCAGCCGCGGUAAUACGGAGGGUGCGAGCGUUGUUCGGAAUUAUUGGGCGUAAAGCGCGUGUAGGCGGUUUGGUAAGUCUGAUGUGAAAGCCCCGGG